rnacentral:rRNA from 1 species
AUGUAUCUCAUGUCUCAAGAUUAGCCAUGCAUGUCUAAGUAUAAGUACUUGUAUGACGAAACUGCGAACGGCUCAUUACAACAGUUAUAAUUGGUUUGAAGGGCAAAGUCUACACGGAUAACCGUGGGAAACCAAGGCUAAUACGUGCGUACGGUUCUUCGGAACCAGCGUUUAUUAGAGAAAGAACCAACAAAUGGUGCUUCAUGAUAACCAUGCGAAUCGCAAGCUUCUGCGGCGAUAGUUCAUUCAAGUUUCUGACCUAUCAGCUCUCGACGGUCGGGUAGUGGCCCACCGUGGCUGUUACGGGUGACGGGGAAUUGGGGUUCGAUUCCGGAGAGGGAGCCUGAGAAACGGCUACCACGUCUAAGGAUGGCAGCAGGCGCGUAAAUUACCCAAUCCCGAUACGGGGAGGUAGUGACAAGAAAUAGCGACGCGAGGCAAAUGUCUUGUGAUUGCAAUGAGUAGAAUCUAAACCUUUCUACGAGUACCAAUUGGAGGGCAAGUCUGGUGCCAGCAGCCGCGGUAAUUCCAGCUCCAAUAGCGUAUAUUAAAAUUGUUGCAGUUAAAACGCUCGUAGUUGAAUAUCUGCUGACCGUCGUUCUGGUCCGCUUUGCGUGUACCUUUCGACUUCGGCAUCCGUCUGCAUUGCAUCCGUAGUGCAGACCGUUCACUUUGAGGAAAUUAGAGUGUUCAAAGCAGGCUCUUGCCUUGAAUACUUCAGCAUGGAAUGAUCGAUAGGACUUUCGUCUUAUCCGUUGGUUCUAGGGACGGAAGUAAUGAUCAAUAGGGUCGGUUGGGGGCAUUCGUAUCGAACAGUCAGAGGUGAAAUUCUUAGAUUUGUUCAAGACGAACAACUGCGAAAGCAUUUGCCAAGGACGACCCCGUUAAUCAAGAACGAAAGUUAGGGGAUCGAAGACGAUCAGAUACCGUCGUAGUCUUAACCAUAAACUAUGCCGACUAGAGAUUGGAAGAAGUCUCUCGACUCUUUCAGCAUCUUCAGAGAAAUCCCAGUUUUUGGGGUUCUGGGGGGAGUAUGGUCGCAAGGCUGAAACUUAAAGGAAUUGACGGAUGGCACCACAGGAGUGGAGCCUGCGCUUAUUUGACUCACACGGGAACUCACCCAGGUCAGACUAGGUAAGAUGACGGAUUGAUAGCUCUUUUCUGAAUUCAUUGGGUGGGUGGUGCAUGGGCCGGUC